CAGUCGCCGCGGGAAUACGAAGGGUGCAAGCGUUAAUCGGAAUUACUGGGCGUAAAGCGUGCAUAGGCGGUUUGUUAAGUCUGCUGUGAAAUCCCCGGGCUCAACCUGGGAAUGGCAGUGGGUACUGGCAAGCUAGAGUGUGUCAGAGGAUGGUGGAAUUCCCGGUGUAGCGGUGAAAUGCGUAGAGAUCGGGAGGAACAUCAGUGGCGAAGGCGGCCAUCUGGGACAACACUGACGCUGAGGCACGAAAGCGUGGGGAGCAAACAGGAUUAGAUACCCGCGUAGUCCCUGUCUCUUAUAA
rnacentral:rRNA from 1 species